GCCCGGGUGGCGGAAUUGGCAGACGCCGCCGACUUAAAAUCGGCUGUCCUCACGGACGUGCGGGUUCGAUCCCCGCCCCGGGCA
rnacentral:tRNA from 3 species